rnacentral:rRNA from 1 species
GGGGGCCCGCAAGCGGUGGAGCAUGUGGUUUAAUUCGAUGCAACGUGAAGAACCUUACCUACUCUUGACAUCCAGAGAACGUGGCAGAGAUGCUGUGGUGCCUUCGGGAACUCUGAGACAGGUGCUGCAUGGCUGUCGUCAGCUCGUGUUGUGAAAUGUUGGGUUAAGUCCCGCAACGAGCGCAACCCUUAUCCUUUGUUGCCAGCGCGUAACGGCGGGAACUCAAAGGAGACUGCCGGUGAUAAACCGGAGGAAGGUGGGGAUGACGUCAAGUCAUCAUGGCCCUUACGAGUAGGGCUACACACGUGCUACAAUGGCGUAUACAAACAGAAGCGACCUCGCGAGAGCAAGCGGACCUCAUAAAGUACGUCGUAGUCCGGAUUGGAGUCUGCAACUCGACUCCAUAAAGUCGGAAUCGCUAGUAAUCGUAGAUCAGAAUGCUACGGUGAAUACGUUCCCGGGGCCUUGUACACACC